rnacentral:misc_RNA from 1 species
AUGCGAUAAGUAAUGCGAAUUGCAGAAUUCAGUGAAUCAUCGAAUCUUUGAACGCACAUUGCGCCCGCCAGUACUCUGGCGGGCAUGCCUGUCUGAGCGUCAUUUCAACCCUCGCCCCCGGCUUCUGUCGGGGACGGUGUUGGGGAUCGGCCUCCCGUCUUCCGGGUGGCCGGCCCCUAAAUUGAGUGGCGACCACGCCGUAACCUCCUCUGCGUAGUAGUUAAACACUCGCGGGCGGAGAGCGGUGCGGCCUGCCGUAAAACCCCCAACUCUUCUAAGGUUGACCUCAGAUCAGGUAGGAAUACCCGCUGAACUUAA